rnacentral:rRNA from 1 species
UACGGAGGGGGCUAGCGUUGUCCGAAGUUACUGGGCGUAAAGCGCGCGUAGGCGGGUUGGUAAGUCCGCUGUGAAAGCCCGGAGCUUAACUCCGGAGGGUCGGUGGAUACUGCCAGUCUUGAAGGUGCUAGGGGGAGAUGGAAUUACCGGUGUAGCGGUGAAAUGCGUAGAUAUCGGUAGGAACACCAGUGGCGAAGGCGACUUACUGGUCCAUGACUGACGCUGAGGCUCGAAAGCGUGGGGAGCAAACAGG